CUGGUGAAAGUCCAGCCUAGGUAAGAGCCAAGUCGUCUAGUAGCUAACAGGCAACUGGUGGAGAAAUCCUAAGGUUGAAGCUCUGUGACAAAGUGACUUCUAUUUAGAAGUGCGAGCGAAUCAACAAACCGUAACAUA
rnacentral:ncRNA from 1 species